UUUAGCUCAUGAGUAUAUAAGCGCUUGUGGCAAGUGGCUCCUUCUUUUCCUUCGUCUUCAGCCACAGCCAGAUUCAGGUGCGAUUUAUGAGGUCCUUGCCGAGGCGGUCACGGGCGGUGCCGGAUGCUUCUAAUGUGACCAAGUGGCGAGUCAUUUUGUGGAGAUUUCCGCUAGGACUCCCAACAUUUCCGGUUGUGAUGGUGCGUCCGGUUGUCGACCCUGUGGCAGUCGACGACGCUAGUUUUACAUCGCCAGAAAUCGUGGUGAGCUGCGUGAGUUUAACCAGGUGGUGCAAGGUGGUACUACUCGCGGUGCCACGUGGUGCUUCGGGGCAUGAUCGGCUAAGUGACCUUUAGUAACCUCCAACCAUGUGCCAGGAAUAAUUCGAACCUUUGAUAAGCUACUGCUAUAGUUUUUUUACUUACGUUUUAUUCGUUAAAAAUUUAGAUAAGUUUGUGUGUUCUUAAUUUUAAUUUUAGUAUUAAAAAUUUGUCAUCCUUUUUAACCAACAAGAGUGUGAUUGAUACUUUGUAAUAAAGUAAUUUCAAUCUGUUA